AAAAGGGAAAAACAUCACUGCUGUUAUUGUCCUAGACGUCAUCUGUAUCGCCAUCACGGGAAACACACUGUGCUUAAUGGGCUCAGUGUCAUCACCAGCGCUUUACACACACAUUGACUAAUCUAACCCGCACGAGCACAUGACAAAGUGCUCCUAGGUUCUAGGAUUUGAAGAUAAAGCGGACACAGUUCCUAACAUUAAAGUAUCACUGGUUAGAAUAUGAACACAGUUAAGAGGCAAAAGUGGAAGUUAACUCCGGAUAUAAUGUGAACACAAAAGAAGAAGUGCUUAUGUCUACUGAAGAGUAAAGGAGGAAUACAGAAAAGACAUGACCCUCACCUGGGUAUUCUGCAACUUAGUGUAUGUCCCAGAGCCGUCACUCUUCUUGGAAGAUGGAGGCUGGAGAAAUCAGAAUACUUUUUACACAACAUAUCAAAGUACAGCUAAACAAUUUAACAUAAAUAUCUGGACACUGAAAGUUAUGCUUAAUGAAGUAAAAUACCUGAGCCAACACG